UCACUUGAACAAAAUUAAAGUGCUAAAGCAGGCUAAAUUGCGCUCGCAUACACGCGCAUGGAAUAAUCGAAUAGGACCUCCGUUCUAUUUUGUUGGGUUUUUGUGGAACGACAGACGGAGGUAAUGAUCAAUGGGUGCGGAUGGGGGCAUUCGUAUUGCGACGUUAGAGGUGAAAUUCUUGGAUCGUCGCAAGACGGACUUAAGCGAAAGCAUUUGCCAAAAACGCUUUCAUCGAUCAAGAACGAAAGUUAGAGGUUCGAAGGCGAUCAGAUACCGCCCUAGUUCUAACCAUAAACUAUGCCAGCUAGCGAUCCGCCGAAGUUACUUCUAUGACUCGGCGGGCAGCUUCCGGGAAACCAAAGCUUUCGGGUUCCGGGGGAAGUAUGGUUGCAAAGCUGAAACUUAAAGGAAUUGACGGAAGGGCACCACCAGGAGUGGAGCCUGCGGCUUAAUUUGACUCAACACGGGAAACCUCACCAGGCCCGGACACCGGAAGGAUUGACAGAUUGAGAGCU
rnacentral:rRNA from 1 species